rnacentral:rRNA from 1 species
CCUACGGGUGGCAGCAGUAGGGAAUAUUGCUCAAUGGGGGAAACCCUGAAGCAGCAACGCCGCGUGGAGGAUGAAGGUUUUCGGAUUGUAAACUCCUUUUGUUAGAGAAGAUAAUGACGGUAUCUAACGAAUAAGCACCGGCUAACUCCGUGCCAGCAGCCGCGGUAAUACGGAGGGUGCAAGCGUUACUCGGAAUCACUGGGCGUAAAGAGCGCGUAGGCGGGAUAGCAAGUCAGAUGUGAAAUCCUAGGGCUUAACCAUAGAACUGCAUUUGAAACUGUUAUUCUAGAGUAUGGGAGAGGGAGGUGGAAUUCUUGGUGUAGGGGUAAAAUCCGUAGAGAUCAAGAGGAAUACUCAUUGCGAAGGCGACCUGCUAGAACAUAACUGACGCUGAUGCGCGAAAGCGUGGGGAGCAAACAGGAUUAGAUACACGGGUAGUC